rnacentral:rRNA from 1 species
AGCUCCAAUAGCGUAUAUUAAAGUUGUUGCAGUUAAAAAGCUCGUAGUUGGAUUUCUGGCAGGAGCGACCGGUCACGCACUUUGUGCGUGAACUUGCGUUGUCUCUGGCCAUCCUUGGGGAGAUCCUAUUUGGCAUUAAGUUGUCGGGUAGGGGAUACCCAUCGUUUACUGUGAAAAAUUAGAGUGUUUAAAGCAGGCUUAUGCCGUUGAAUAUAUUAGCAUGGAAUAAUAAGAUAGGACUUCGGAACUAUUUUGUUGGUUUGCGUUACGAAGUAAUGAUUAAUAGGGACAGUUGGGGCGGUCCGUAUUCCAAAGCGAGAGGUGAAAUUCUUAGACCUUCGGAAGACGAACAGCUGCGAAAGCGUUCCGCAAGGAUGUUCCCU